AUCACUUCUCGGCCUUUUGGCUAAGAUCAAGAGUAGUAUCUGUUCUUAUCAGUUUAAUACCUGAUAUGUCCUCUAUCCGAGGACAAUAUAUUAAAUGGAUUUUUGAAACAGGAAAAUGGAAUAGGAGCUUGCUCCGUCCACUCCACGCAUCGACCUGGUAUUUCAGUACUUUCAGGAAUGGUGCACAAAAA
rnacentral:snRNA from 1 species